AUUGAACGCUGGCGGCAGGCCUAACACAUGCAAGUCGAACGGUAGCACAGAGAGCUUGCUCUCGGGUGACGAGUGGCGGACGGGUGAGUAACGUCUGGGAAACUGCCCGAUGGAGGGGGAUAACUACUGGAAACGGUAGCUAAUACCGCAUAACGUCGCAAGACCAAAGUGGGGGACCUUCGGGCCUCACACCAUCGGAUGUGCCCAGAUGGGAUUAGCUAGUAGGUGGGGUAAUGGCUCACCUAGGCGACGAUCCCUAGCUGGUCUGAGAGGAUGACCAGCCACACUGGAACUGGGCCACGGUCCAGACUCCUACGGGAGGCAGCAGUGGGGAAUAUUGCACAAUGGGCGCAAGCCUGAUGCAGCCAUGCCGCGUGUAUGAAGAAGGCCUUCGGGUUGUAAAGUACUUUCAGCGGGGAGGAAGGCGGUGAAGUUAAUAGCUUCACCGAUUGACGUUACCCGCAGAAGAAGCACCGGCUAACUCCGUGCCAGCAGCCGCCGUAA
rnacentral:rRNA from 1 species